CUAAAAUUGGAUUGCCAGUGACUCCGGUGUAACUUUACAGAUUUCUAGAGCUCCUUUCUGUAUGGUUCUGUAGUAUUUUGCCCUGCAAGUCCUUGCCACCUUGGCCUCUCCCAAUUCUUGUCUUGCUUUAAGUCAGUGAGGCCAACUGUGUGAUAACUUGGAAGUGACCUCUAGACAGAAUGCAUAGAUGAUCAGGGGCUCAUCUAGAUGGUUUUCUUUGUCUCACUGAUCAUGAUUCUUCUCUGUAUGUUAUUUGAUAUAUAUUUUUGCUUCUCUAUUUGCUUAUGCAGGAAGAUAGGUUUGGUGUCAGAUACUUCUGUAUGAGAAAUAGUAGAAAUUCUUUCCAGUAAGUCUGUUACAGAACUAGGGCUUCCCAAGGAUGCAGCCACAGAGAUCCUGGGUUACUUUUUUUUUUUUUUUAAACAAUUGUGCUAAAAAGAUUUUAGGCAUUUUUCUCAGACUAACAGACAUGAUAUAUUAGAAUAGAAGGAGAAAAGGAGACACUCUCAAGAGAGAAAAUGGGUCCUCUCAGAGAGGAGAGAGGACUGUGCCUCUCUUGCUUGUGGGUCCCAGGGAAGUUUCAAGAGAGACCCACCCAGGUCCAUCUCUGGGCUUGUGACUGACAGCAAGAUGGCAUCACACUUACCCCUGCAGAGGGGACAUGCAUGGAUCCAAGGCAACUCUACUGUUCUAAAUGGAACCUGUUCUCAGAUUUUAUUGUUAGGGGGCAUUAUCCUUAUCUCCUGAGUUCUGGAAUCUGGUCUGUGUAAGGGUCACUAAAGUGUCCCCCUUCAGGGUAAACUGUUCUAAUUGGCAGGGAGAGGCCUUUGAACCCUUACAUUUCUCCUGCAGAUAACAGUUGUUUGCUGAGGAAUGUGGCAUUCCACUGACUUAAGCCAGGCAGGUCUGCACCCAAGUUGCUUUUUAUAAGAAAGCAUGCGAGUGUCAGCAAAGUAGGCCCAGGCUAUAGAAUCAUCCCCUAAACCUUACGUUCCCACUCUCACAUCUGUAAUAACCCACAAGUCUGAGAUGAAACGUAAAUCCUAAAAUGUUCAUUGGAAGCUGCGUGUGCAGUCAGGAGUUUUUGACUGUUGGGCCAGACAAUGGAAUAGGUAAUGAUCUCAUUACUCUCCCGCAUAAAAGCCAGCAUGACUGGAACCUCUUAUCUGCUCAGCUCUUUCUGGCUUCAUAUCUUUUUUUGUUAACAAUGAAAAGGUUAUCCUCUGGAGACAGUUUAUUAGGUUAAUUCAGCAAUUCAAUAUUCUGAAAAUAUUUCUCUCUUCAUUUUGAUAUUUUCAGGAUCAGUUUUUACAUUUAGUUUCAAAUAUGUGUGACUUAUUUAUAUUCUCUGUUUUCAUGGUGGCUACUUGUUAACUUCUUUAAUCACUUUAAGCUUAUUUUAUAC
rnacentral:lncRNA from 1 species